GGGAGGUAGUGACAAUAAAUAACAAUACAGGGCCUUUACAGGUCUUGUAAUUGGAAUGAGUACAAUUUAAAUCUCUUAACGAGGAACAAUUGGAGGGCAAGUCUGGUGCCAGCAGCCGCGGUAAUUCCAGCUCCAAUAGCGUAUAUUAAAGUUGUUGCAGUUAAAAAGCUCGUAGUUGAAUUUUGGGUUUGGCCGAUUGGUCCGUUCUUGUAACGAGUACUGGUCGGUUGGGCCUCACCGCCUGGUGAUGCGGAAUGUCCUUUAUUGGGUGUUGCGAGUAGCCAGGACUUUUACCUUGAAAAAAUUAGA
rnacentral:rRNA from 1 species